GCCUGGAUAGCUCAGUUGGUUAAGAGCAUGGUGAUGAUAACACCAAGGCUGCAGGUUCGAUCCCCGUAUGGGGACA